rnacentral:lncRNA from 1 species
GGAACAGCCAGGGUACCCUCGUUCUGCCCCACCCCAAUGUUGUGGCUCCCCAACUAGAGAGGAGGUGAAGCUGCAGGAUCCAAGCCGGAAGUUAAACCCUUGGUUUUCUGUAGGCAUUUUGGACCUGCUGCUCUUUGGGCCUGCAGCAAAUCCAGUGCAGGCACCAUACUGCGGAAUUAGAGACUGGGCCCCUUCUGGCUUUCCUUCUCAACUCCCCAGGGACUCAGAGCCCCUGGGCUGGGGGCAGCAGGUCCCAGGGUGCCCUGCUCUUGUCAUUGCCCUGGGGCAGCUGCCUCUCCAGGCUCAGCUCAGCCCGUCUGGAACCUCUGCUACGGUUAAAAUAGGGAGCUGGGGGAGGGAGAAUAGGGCGGGGGUGUGUGUGUGCAGAUUCCCUCAGAGCCGAGGAAGAGGACAGGUUUUAGGUUGGGGGGAGGCUUUGGGUUUCACAGUGAUGGCCUCAUGAUACCCCCUCGACUUACACUCGCGGUGCAUUUUAGUCUUUGUGCUUUGAACUCAGUACGAUUCCUUUUGACUCUUCCUUUGAAAAGUGCAGAUGUUUUAAGAAAGAAGACAGAGAGGCUUAUUAUUACUUAUUACUUUUCCUAUGGGGGCAAGUUUGGGAGACAGACCUGUGCUCUUGAAAAAAGACUGGUGGUACCUUUAGGCUUCAAGGCUCAGAGAAGAGGGGCCCCUGGUUUGCUCUUUGAGUCUGUGGGUGGAGUGGGGGAGCCUGAGGACCACCUUCCCCGUGCCCCCGCCCCCAGGCAGCCCUCAGCCUGUCUGCAGGUGCUGGCAGCAGCCUCCUUUCCUCUCUGCUCCCCGACGCCCUCAGAAGCUCUUGUCCCCUUUCCCGGGAGCCCUCAUCUCCCUGGGCCAGAGCCAUGCCCACCCUCCCAGUGAAGAUGCCCUGACUGCUCCACCUGCCUCCAUCCCAGAGCUGGGCAUCCGUGUCACCUGUGGAGGGUUUUCAUCCCUGGAGAGGGACGGAGGGAGGAGUGGACGGAGUGGGGAGGAUCAAAGGUCUUUGGAGUCAGGCAAAGCAAAGUGACGAGAAGAGGGAAGGCCCUUGAGGAGGGGGCCUGAGACCUGGUUUCCUGCACUAAAUAACUAGAGGGCAGGGGAAGGAAGGGUUAUUAUAACCCAUUUUUCCUCCUCAGGCCUGAAACCCUAGCAACAUGGUGUUUCUGCUUUUUUUUUUUCUCCCGAAGGCCCAACCUUUAUCAGGCUGGACACCAAGCUAGCUCCUCCUUUCUGGAGCCCCCUGGCCUCUGAUUCCCCAUGGGUUGGGGGACUUCAGAGACAAAGCAGGCAGCUAGGGGUGGGAGGUAAGGAGGGUCUCCGGUCGGUCCUCUGUGGAUUUUCCCACCCCUGCAGAAAGUGUCCCAACUUAGUGAGGCCAGCAGCUGAGGUCCCUCCUGGCCUGGAUGGAAGGAGGCGGCUUGGUGGGGGAAGAGGCUGCAGCAAAGGACAGACCAGAUCCUGGGCGGGAUCCCGGCCCACAACCUUGGGAGCAGAGGAUUUCCAGGCACUGCUUCCAGAGGGGUCAGGCCUGGGAGGUCCCCCAGACUGGGUCCUCACGCCCAGGAGGCCAACAGCUGGGACACCAAGACAGAAGGGAGCCUGGCCGGUCCCCUGUCCCCGUGGUGUGUUUCCCAUUCCAGAAUCUCACUCCCACCCCGCAAGUGCGCUUUGGGUUUUCCUUUUAAUCCGGCUUCAUCUGGAUGCCUGGAAAAGUAGGGGAGGGAGUGGGAAGCAACAGAUCCCUUCAUUUGCCCCGGGCCUGCACAGCUCCCCCCGCAGGCCCACGGCCCUGAUGGGGAAGACGGAGGGGAAGACAAGGGGGAAGAUGGGGGGGAGAUGGAGAGGAAGAUGGGAGAAGACAUUCUCGGGUGCUGCCCAGGUGCCUUGGUUGCAGGAUAGGAACGUCCUUUGAGCAUCUCAGCAGUUGCUCCCAGGGAGGCUUGGCCACUUGGCACCGUCCCCCUGCUUCCUGCCCAGGCUGCCAGGGAGAGAGACCCAAGGAAGUGACUCCAGGGAAGCUGAGGGGGAGAGUGUGGGCGGGCCCCUUCAUCGUCCAGUUGGUUUCCCAGAAGGAACAGGGGCUCCCUGUGCGCAGGGAAGGCUUUGGAAGUGGGCGGGUUCCCGGAGGAUAAGAUGCUCUCUGGGCUCUGAGGGCACCCUGGCUGUGUCUCCUCAGCUGGCCGAGACCUGAGGUACCUCCCUGGGGUCUCCAGAGGCUGUGAGGGGCAGAACGGGGGUCAGGGGGCACAGGAAUGCCCCUGGUCACAGCCUUUGUUCCCAGCCCCCUCCCUUUCUUCGCUCCAGUGCUUUGAAAGAGGGUCAUUGCAGGCUUCCCCCCUCGUUGGCCCCACCAAGAGAAGGAAGUAUUUGUGCUGAUGGUGACAUUUCCCGGGCAGGCCAGAGGAAGGCAGGGACCGGGACUGGCGGGCAGCCAGAACCCUCCUCGACAGAGAUAUAAUUACUAACCGUGACCUCUAGCCCAGGCAGCGAGCAAAAUGACCAUUCAGGACGGCACCAACCCAGUCUGGCAACAAAAGCUGCUGUGGUGGCGAGGCUGAGGGGGUAGGUGAUUGAUGUAUGAAAUGGGGGUGUGUGUGCCCCAGGACCUCUGUUCUCCCUCAACACGCAACCCCUCACAUCUCCAGGUUAUCCUCACUCACCGCAGCCCUUUGCUGGCCUCUCAGCACCUCUAGAAUUCCAAUCAAUGUAAUUAGUAUGGAUGAUGAGAACAGAGACGUUCACACACACCUCCUUUAAGGAGCUAAAGUGCACCUUGUGUGUUGCUCCAGGAUGAGAGGGAGAACCUGCCGGUAGCCAGGAGCUGCCAGACAAGAUGCUUCCUUUCCCCGUGGUCCUUCCAGGCUGGCUCCCCCAACCUGCAGUCCCGCAUCGCCGCAGGGAGUUGGAAAGGGAAACUCAUCCUGGGAAAGCCAUUGGCUGCAAGGACCUUUCCAUCUCUCCCCCGACUCACCUCUGCUUCUUUGGGGAAGAUGUUUGGCGAUAAUUGAGGACCUGGGGGGGAAAAGUCUUGAUUCAGCUUUUUGAAGGGAUGCAGAGAUUUCAUAGGUAGACUUGGGUUGUGGUUUUUGUCGACUUUGCCCUUUCACGAUCAUUCCCCACUGAGUGCUUGGCUCUCCUCUUCCUUCUCCUGCCUUUUCCCUUCCGUCACCUUCCCCUCCCUCCCCUCCUGCCAUGCUAGAUGUUGAAGGGUGGGUUGGUGGUGGGAAAAAACAGUAGUGCAGAAGAAAAAUAAAAUAUACCCCUUGCACAUUUUCACCAGGUAGCUGAAGAGGUCUAAAUGAGGUACUAGAAAAAAGGAAAGAAACACUGCUAGCUAAUGUGUGAGUGAGAGCAUGAAGACAGAGACGAGUUAUCCCAGGGCAGAGGAGGCGAGGGCAGGUGGCUGGAGAGAGGCGAGUUUGGGAGGCAGCAUCCCGGCUCACCCAGGAGCUGGUCCACGGGGCACUAGGGAAAGCAGAGAGUCUGGCUUUGGCAAUAAAUGCUCAGAUGCUUAGGGACCAUUUGUGACUCAGGCCAGGAAAGGGAGGGGGUCUGUCCUAGUUGCCCACCACUCAUCUGUCGUGUUUACCCGCUCUGGGCAUUUUUCCUCCGGAGGAAAAUGAACACACUUCUCGCCUGCCAUGAGGGGUUGCUGGACAGGCUGGCACUGGCUAAAACAUUUGGCGGGGCGUGGACUAUGUGCCAAGCCGUGUCCUAGAUACUAUACACGCUGGAGACAGGAAGCCUUCAAGCUGCUUUCUAGCCCUAAAACGACACUCCCGAGGCACCCUGAUCACAUGUCAGGUGCCAUCAAGGAUGGUGUAUGUGUAUCUGGGUCUCUGUUUAGAAUGCAUGUUCAUAGAAGAUGAGCAGCGAAGGUGGCCCCUUAUUUCCACCCUCUGGGAGUUGGGGAGAAGUGCAGUUGACCUCAGCCUAAUUGGAGUGUGUCACCAGCCACAGGGACUCUGAGCCUGUGCCUCCAGAUGCUGCCUUUGGAUCGCUGCAGUGGCAGGCAGGCAGGUGUGACUGAUGGGACAUGAUCAGAGGUAGAAAGUGACACGCACGAUGGUCUCAUCCAGUCCCCACUAGAGGAAGCUGAGCCGGGGAGUGGCGGGGUGGGAGCCUCAUGCAGGGGGUGGGUGGACUCCUACGGAGACCCCAGCCAGGCUGUCUCAGCUUCGUGGGUGUUUCUGGCUUGGUGCAUGUGAGGGAGGCCCAAUGUCAAAGGCAUUUUCAGUAAACCUGCUACGCCCUCCUUUGGCCAGGUGCUCGCCAGAUCUAGCUACGUGCUCCACUAGAGUGCCAUUGUCGGCAUUGACAGCACUAGAAAUUGGCCAUCUGUUUCAGCUCCCCUUUCCUCUGCAUAUGACACAGCCACUUCCCAGCCUCUAGCUGUUCCCCGAAGAAGCUGGCUUUCAAGCUGAGGGCCUGGGCUUGGCGCAAGUCACGUAUCCACCGCUGGGUAGGUGUCGGCUCAGAGUUGCCUACAGCAGCCUUUGGCUUCUCUGCGGGGGAGGCUCUGGGGACAGCCCUUCCCUGGACAGCACAUGGCUCGCAGCUGGUGGUCUGGUGAUCUCUGGGAGAGUCAGGGACAUGAAGCUUUCCUGAUGCCUGGCUGGGAGUCUGGCUUUAAAGUGCUUGAGAACCUAAGAUGCAUUCUGGGGUUUGAUCCACUCACUCAUUUGAGAGCCUGUGGGCAAGGCUCUUCCGGUUGACCCAGCUUCACUAGUCCCUUGUGUUGGCAGGAGGGAGAACAGAAGCCCAUCUGACUUGGAUCUCAUCCAGGCCAGACAGGCUGCACCAUCCCGGGGCAGCCAGCCUUGGACCCUGAGCCCACAGGCUGCACGAAGGGUGGACGCUGCUGGCCCAGGGGCAGAGCUCUGAGAUGGUCUCCCCUCCACCUCCACCCAAGGACACUCUUGGGCUGAGGAUCCAGCCUGAUCAGACCACUUCCCAGCCUGAUGCUGACCUACUGGACCAGCUAGGCAACGGAGCCCUAGUGGAUUGUCCCACCCACGUCACAGUCCAUCGUGCAAGAGCCAGAACGAGUCUUCAGCCAGGUCUGCGCCCCCUUUCCCAAUGUGUUUAGCCUGAGGGCCUUUUUAAAGCCCAGUUUCUAUUACAUUACCUCUUGAGAGCCAAGAAAUGGAACAUCUCUGCCAGGAAACCAAAAGAAAUUGAUGUUCUUCUCCUAGUGGUCAAAACUCCAGCGUGGUUCUCCCCAGAGGGAGGCUGCUCCUGGCCACUUUGGUGGGGCUGCCACCACAUAGGACCCCCGUGGCUCCUCUGGGUGGGCUUUUGGCCCUGGAGUAGGAAGGCUGAAGACGUCCCCCAGGAGGGGGUGACACUGGUUCCAGUGCAGGGGGAGGAAGCGCAGGCUCUGGUUGAAUCAGAGAGUGAGAAGCCUGGGAAGGGGUUGGUUCAGCUUUCACGCUGCCUGUCCCAGCUGGUGACUAGACCCUGGGUGCCUCGCAGCCUCAGGAAUUUUCUGUCCCUGGACUGCUUGUGGCUGUGGCUAGAAAGGGGAACCCCUGGAGAUGUUCCAGUGAUCUCCAGUUGUCGGGGCUCCAUUUCUAUCUCUGGGCGAGCAGAGGAGAUGCAAAGUCGGGGUCCCUGCUUCCAGCUGUGGGCACCAGAGAGGAGGCCGCUUUCACAGGGUAUCCCUAUGGUUCCAAAAUGCUCUCCUGUCUCUGUUACCCUCCCUGCCUCAACUCUCUCUGAAACCCUUAGUCACAAAAUAGUGGCUGAGUUGGCCCCCAGCAACAGAAAUGCUAGCCAACAAGCAUCUUCCUCCGAUGCUCCCUUGAACUCCCUCCCCGCUGGACCUUGGGAUCCAGCACCGCAUUACCUUCCCCUGGAUGGACAGCUUAGAGUGGUCCAACCCCGAGCAGCUCAGUUUACUUCAGACAGUGUCCAGCGCUGGGCAGACACAGUUUUCACGAUGAGAGAGAAGGGCUCCAGACUUAGGAAGUUGUGCGUAAUGGUCUGAAGAAGCGAUCUCCGUUGACUCCUCUAAAAAGCCACCCCAGCCAUGGACAAGCAGAAGCCACCCCUCCCUCCCCCCACCCCGUCCCCUUCAGGUGUGCUGUGGUUGUCGUCUCUGUCUGUAGCUGCGUGCCCCACUCCUGCCCCUCUGCCCUCUGGGGAAUCCUCCUUUCUCCCGUGUGCCAAGCGCCCACUCUUUUGUGGCUCCUGGUGUGAAGGCUGCUGUGACGUCUCUGCCCUGUCUGAGGGAUGCUUCGCCAUCACUCAGCGUUUCCGUGCUGGAGGUGGGGCCGGGCCACGUCUCCCGCCAUCCCAAGGGGACACAUGGGUGCUGUGACUUCCCAGAGAGUGGGUGGACCGUGAGUCUCCAGGAGAAGCUCCAGGUAGGAAAGAGCCCACAUCUGGAUCUGGAUCCACGGACGAGGACUGGCCCAGAAGCGGAGUCCCCACGGCUUCACUCAGAGGGCCGGCUGGAAGGGCUGUCGUGAAAUCUUCCCUCCCCGCCAGGCUUUGUCCAGUCCUGACUGGGACCUGGGGGUGGCUCCCUGGAGAGGUCCAGCCCUGUAGCCAACUUGAGGUGAGCAUCAUCGAGCAGCCUUUAUCUUGGAGACCCCUGGACAGCCCAGCCCCUCUGUGGAGCCCUUGCACGUCCACAAAGACUGCGUCAGAGGCCCCGUCCCUUCCUUGCUGUGGUUAGUAUCUCGUUCUGUGGUUGGUUAGCAGUGUUGAUAACCUACAUAGUAGAUCUUUUUGUCUGAAAUUUAGAGAAUGUGUAAACAAAUAAAAGGUUUUCAAACUC